rnacentral:sRNA from 1 species
UCUUCGUCCAAUUAGAGGAAGUAAAAGUCGUAACAAGGUCUCCGUUGGUGAACCAGCGGAGGGAUCAUUACUGAGUUUACGCUCUACAACCCUUUGUGAACAUACCUAUAACUGUUGCUUCGGCGGGCAGGGUCUCCGUGACCCUCCCGGCCUCCCGCCCCCGGGCGGGUCGGCGCCCGCCGGAGGAUAACCAAACUCUGAUUUAACGACGUUUCUUCUGAGUGGUACAAGCAAAUAAUCAAAACUUUUAACAACGGAUCUCUUGGUUCUGGCAUCGAUGAAGAACGCAGCGAAAUGCGAUAAGUAAUGUGAAUUGCAGAAUUCAGUGAAUCAUCGAAUCUUUGAACGCACAUUGCGCCCGCCAGCAUUCUGGCGGGCAUGCCUGUUCGAGCGUCAUUUCAACCCUCAAGCUCUGCUUGGUGUUGGGGCCCUACAGCCGAUGUAGGCCCUCAAAGGUAGUGGCGGACCCUCCCGGAGCCUCCUUUGCGUAGUAACUUUACGUCUCGCACUGGGAUCCGGAGGGACUCUUGCCGUAAAACCCCCAAUUCUCCAAAGGUUGACCUCGGAUCAGGUAGGAAUACCCGCUGAACUUAAGCAUAUCAAAAGGCCGGAGGAA